UUCGCCCUAUCAAAAUACUCCACUAAAAUAAAACUAAAGGAGUUUCUCAGAAUGCAGAAAUCUACAAGGACAAGAAGACUGAGAUGACAGCAGCAACAAUAUCACGAAAGCCAGAAAACUGAUUCAUGCAGCCUGCCACAGAACUCUUGAAUUUGCAAAACAAACUCUGUACCCAUUAAACAGUAACUCCAUUCCUCCACCCCUGCUCCAGGAAAAAAAUAUACAUCCUUUCUGGAAAUACGGGCCUAGGAGUUAACUGCAGGAACUAAGAGUGCUAGAAUUCACCAAGAUCAUUACUUCCCACCUGGAUUUGGUAUCCUUAAAGGAGAAAGAAAAAAAAUUCUU
rnacentral:lncRNA from 1 species